rnacentral:rRNA from 1 species
GAUUAUGGCUCGAGGACGAACGCUGGCGGCGUGCUUAACACAUGCAAGUCGAACGAGAAUCACCGGAAAGAGGAUUCGUCCAAUGGAAGGUGAGGACAGUGGCGGACGGGUGAGUAACGCGUGAGGAACCUGCCUUUCAGAGGGGGACAACAGUUGGAAACGACUGCUAAUACCGCAUAACGCAUCGGAGUCGCAUGGCUCCAAUGCCAAAGAUUUAUCGCUGAAAGAUGGCCUCGCGUCUGAUUAGCUGGUUGGCGGGGUAACGGCCCACCAAGGCGACGAUCAGUAGCCGGACUGAGAGGUUGAACGGCCACAUUGGGACUGAGAUACGGCCCAGACUCCUACGGGAGGCAGCAGUGGGGAAUAUUGGGCAAUGGGCGCAAAGCCUGACCCAGCAACGCCGCGUGAAGGAAGAAGGCUUUCGGGUUGUAAACUUCUUUUAAGAGGGAAGAGCAGAAGACGGUACCUCUAGAAUAAGCCACGGUUAACUACGUGCCAGCAGCCGC